rnacentral:rRNA from 1 species
GUUUGAUCCUGGCUCAGGAUGAACGCUGGCGGCGUGCCUAACACAUGCAAGUCGAACGGACUUUCCAUGAAGCCUAGCGAUAGAAAAGUUAGUGGCGGACGGGUGAGUAACGCGUGGGUAACCUGCCUUGUACUGGGGGACAACAGUUGGAAACGACUGCUAAUACCGCAUAAGCGCACAGCUUCGCAUGAAGCAGUGUGAAAAACUCCGGUGGUACAAGAUGGACCCGCGUCUGAUUAGCUGGUUGGUGAGGUAACGGCCCACCAAGGCGACGAUCAGUAGCCGGCCUGAGAGGGUGAACGGCCACAUUGGGACUGAGACACGGCCCAAACUCCUACGGGAGGCAGCAGUGGGGAAUAUUGCACAAUGGGGGGAACCCUGAUGCAGCAACGCCGCGUGAGUGAAGAAGUAUUUCGGUAUGUAAAGCUCUAUCAGCAGGAAAGAAAAUGACGGUACCUGACUAAGAAGCCCCGGCUAACUACGUGCCAGCAGCCGCGGUAAUACGUAGGGGGCAAGCGUUAUCCGGAUUUACUGGGUGUAAAGGGGAAGCGGCUAGGCGGUGUUGGCAAGUCUGAAGUGAAAGCCCGGGGCUCUAACCCCGGUGACUGCAUUUGGAAACUGUCGUACUAGAG